GCAGUGGUGGUUCGGUGGCAGAAUUCUCACUUUCCAUGUGGGAGACCCAGGUUUGAUUCCCAGCCAAUGUA
rnacentral:tRNA from 1 species